rnacentral:rRNA from 1 species
UGACGAUCCCGGAGAACCCUUAGGAAACUAGGGGGUGCUUCCAGUCUGGAAGGAAUCUGGAGACAGGUGCUGCAUGGCUGUCGUCAGCUCGUGUCGUGAGAUGUUGGGUUAAGUCCCGCAACGAGCGCAACCCUUGCCUUUAGUUGCCAGCAGUUCGGCUGGGCACUCUAAAGGGACUGCCGGUGUUAAACCGGAGGAAGGUGGGGAUGACGUCAAGUCCUCAUGGCCUUUAUGACCAGGGCUACACACGUACUACAAUGGCCGAUACAGCGGGAAGCGGAGGGGCGACCCUGAGCGGAUACCCUUGAAAGCCGGUCCCAGUUCGGAUUGCAGUCUGCAACUCGACUGCAUGAAGUUGGAAUCGCUAGUAAUCGCGGAUCAGCCAAGCCGCGGUGAAUACGUUCCCGGGCCUU